UCCCACUCCAGAUAUCCAAGGGUGACAGUGGAUUUUCUCUGCUUGAUUUAUUUUGUGAAGUUUUAUCCACCCACAUCUUUCUCAGGUGCUACCAUUCUGAUUCUAGUUUCACAUUUUAAAGACAGUAUUACCCUUCUAAAAGGAGGCAUUCUUAAAAUCCUAUGUAAUCUCAACAGCAGCCUGUCACUUCUAAGAACUGUAAGUGUAAAAAUGCAGUGCACAAAUAUAUUUUCCAUUGUUUAAAAACACAAUACUGUUAGAACACUCAAUUUCUGAAUAACUAAAGCGUGACUAUCAUAACAUACAUUUAUAUUUUCAGCCGCAUUUUUUAAAUUCACUUCCUUUGAGAGCCAUGGUGCAAGCCUCUCCUCACUAUGGACCCAGCUUUCAGGAAUGAGGCAGUAAUUAGGGGUGGAUGCUUUUCCUGUUUGAGACACUCCACAAAUUUACCCAAUUAAGCUCAGUGAUGGUUAUUAUUAACUAAGAGCUUAAAUGAGCAUGUCAAGGUUGGUCUGUGGGUUUUACUGAAGGUUUGGGAGGUUCUGAUGGCUGUUGGUCACUUCUGAACAAGAACUCCUUUCCCAGGGGCCUGAGGAACAAGAAGCCUUGGAAGUGUCUGUGGGCAGGCUGCUACCACAGGUACAGGCCAACUAAGCACAAGCGUGUGGUGCCAGACACAUUCUUACCAAUGCCAAAUGCUCCAAGUUCAUGAAUUACAGACCCACAGGAAUGGUCACACUGGCUCAAACACUGUGACCAUCCAGUCCAGCUCUGUGACUGACAAAGAAUGGCCAAAUUUCCUUGAAGAAAUGCCACAGAAAGCAGACAUGCAUCACCUGCCAGCACAUGUGCCUCACUCAAAGCAGCAAGAGAUUGCUUUAAAAUGUACAGUGAAUCCAGAGGUGACCAGUCAACCCCCUCUGCAGGGGGCUGGUUAUGCCACAGAUAAGAGGAAUGCUGCCUGUUGGGGAAGGAUGCUGUCACAUUCUCCUUACAGACACAAGCAGCUCUAUGGCCAAAAACCACUCUAAGCCAUUGGUUUGUUUGUAUGUUUCUUUUGUGUAUUUCUCCUCUUGAGCAAAAUCCUUCCCCAAGCCCUAAAAAUCCUGAGCAACUUUAAAAGUUAUGAGAUUUUAAACAAAUAACAAUUUAGAAAGCUAUUUAUUUGGCUUCUGCUUUUUGAGCCUCUCUGUUUCAUUUUCAAACUUUUCUCUGCAACCAGAAGGACUAAGAAAAUAAAGACGAUGUUUUAAAUGAAAGCUGAGAAUCUCACAUAAUCACAGGACUCCAGGGGUUUGAGGUUUCAGAAUAAUAUCACGAGUUGUCAAUACUGAAUGUCACUAGAAACUAUAAUGUUAUUCUCAGAAUAGAUGGCAUAAAAGCAAUUGUGGGAUAGUUUUCCUGAUGGAUGCUCCCUGUAGUACCUACAGAUACUGUGAUGGAGGGACAACCUAAAGGUACUUACAGGUGAUGAGCUGUCACAUUCUGGGUUUAGCUACUUGACUAGAGGAGUAUCGCACUUUGCAACAAAUCUGCAUGUGCAAAACGUUGUUAUUUGGUCUGUUAACUAAACAAGCUCACAGAGUAAAAAUUUGUAACGGACUUGUAGCAACACUUAAGUCCCUGGAGAAUAUACAGAAAUAAGUAGGAAGCAAAUUUUACCAUUAACUUCCCAUCUCCUCUGUAUUGUAUG